GCACAAGCGGUGGAGCAUGUGGUUUAAUUCGACGCAACGCGCAGAACCUUACCAGCCCUUGACAUCCCGGUCGCGGACUCCAGAGACGGAGUCCUUCAGUUCGGCUGGACCGGAGACAGGUGCUGCAUGGCUGUCGUCAGCUCGUGUCGUGAGAUGUUGGGUUAAGUCCCGCAACGAGCGCAACCCCCGUCCUUAGUUGCUACCAUUUAGUUGAGCACUCUAAGGAGACUGCCGGUGAUAAGCCGCGAGGAAGGUGGGGAUGACGUCAAGUCCUCAUGGCCCUUACGGGCUGGGCUACACACGUGCUACAAUGGCGGUGACAAUGGGACGCUAAGGGGCAACCCUUCGCAAAUCUCAAAAAGCCGUCUCAGUUCGGAUUGGGCUCUGCAACUCGAGCCCAUGAAGUUGGAAUCGCUAGUAAUCGUGGAUCAGCACGCCACGGUGAAUACGUUCCCGGGC
rnacentral:rRNA from 1 species